rnacentral:rRNA from 1 species
CCUACGGGUGGCAGCAGUGAGGAAUAUUGGUCAAUGGCCGAGAGGCUGAACCAGCCAAGUCGCGUGAGGGAAGAAUGUCCUAUGGAUUGUAAACCUCUUUUGUCAGGGAGCAAAUUCACCCACGUGUGGGUGUUGGAGAGUCUCUGAAGAAAAAGCAUCGGCAAACUCCGUGCCAGCAGCCGCGGUAAUACGGAGGAUGCGAGCGUUAUCCGGAUUUAUUGGGUUAAGGGGGUGCGUAGGCGGGUUACCAAGUCAGCGGUAAAGUCGUGGAGCUCAACUCCAGCCAGCCGUUGAAACUGAUGGUCUUGAGUGGGCGAGAAGUAUGCGGAAUGCGUGGUGUAGCGGUGAAAUGCAUAGAUAUCACGCAGAACUCCGAUUGCGAAGGCAGCAUACCGGCGCCCGACUGACGCUGAAGCACGAAAGCGUGGGUAUCGAACAGGAUUAGAUACCCUGGUAGUC